AAAGAGGAAAAAAUAUGUUGGACUCCAUCUGCAGCUCAUUGUAUUGAUUUAAUUCUUGAGGAUUUUGAAAAGAAAAUUAAGAUGCAUCAGACAACAAUUACAAAGGGCAGAAAAAUCAACACCUAUAAUUAUUCUAGAACAAUGGUUCUUACUUGGUUGAGAGAAUUCACUGGAGGGGAGGAUUUGGUUAGGCCAGCAGUGACAAAAUUUGCUACUGCCUAUUUGACUUUGGGUUGUCUGCAUGAGCACAAGGGCGCAUUGAUCAAUAUGUUCACUUCAACAAAGUGGAGCGGUAGUAGAUUUAAUUCUGCAGAAGGGAAGGUCGUUCAAGGAAUUGUUUUGGAUAUCCGUGGGGUUUGGCCUAAUGUUGCCACAUGUCUGAAGGCUGCACUCCCAAUUAUAAAAGUUCUUCGAUUGGUUGAUUCAGAUGAGAAGCCAGCAAUGCCGUUCAUCUAUGAUGAGAUUGAUCGUGCAAAAGAGAAAAUAAAACAAAAUUUUAACAAUGUCAAGAGAAGGUACGUUUCUGUAUUGACUUAG
rnacentral:rRNA from 1 species